rnacentral:rRNA from 1 species
GCGUAGAAGUCGGGAGGAAUACCGGUUGCGAAGGCGGCCUCCUGGACAAAGUCUGACGUUCAGGUGCGAAAGCGUGGGAAGCAAACAGGAUUGGAUAUCCUGGUAGUCCACGCCGUAAACGGAUGUCUACUUGGAGGUUGUGACUUUGAGGCGUGGCUUCCUGGAGCUAACGCGUUAAGUAGACCGCCUUGGGGGAGUACGGCCGCCAAGGUUAAAACUCAAAUGAAUUGACGGGGGCCCCGCACAAGCGGUGGAGCAUGUGGUUUAAUUCGAUGCAACGCGAAGAACCUUACCUGGUCUUGACAUCCACAGAACUUUCCAGAGAUGGAUUGGUGCCUUUCGGGAACUGUGAGACAGGUGCUGCAUGGCUGUCGUCAGCUCGUGUUGUGAAAUGUUGGGUUAAGUCCCGCAACGAGCGCAACCCUUAUCCUUUGUUGCCAGCGGUCCGGCCGGGAACUCAAAGGAGACUGCCAGUGAUAAACUGGAGGAAGGUGGGGAUGACGUCAAGUCAUCAUGGCCCUUACGACCAGGGCUACACACGUGCUACAAUGGCGCAUACAAAGAGAAGCGACCUCGUGAGAGCAAGCGGACCUCAUAAAGUGCGUCGUAGUCCGGAUUGGAGUCUGCAACUCGACUCCAUGAAGUCGGAAUCGCUAGUAAUCGUGGAUCAGAAUGCCACGGUGAAUACGUUCCCGGGCCUUGUACACACCGCCCGUCACACCAUGGGAGUGGGUUGCAAAAGAAGUAGGUAGCUUAACCUUCGGGAGAGCGCUUAUCACUUUGGAAUACAGG